AUUGAACGCUGGCGGCAUGCCUAACACAUGCAAGUCGAACGAGUGGCGGACGGGUGAGUAAUGUCUGGGAAACUGCCUGAUGGAGGGGGACAACUACUGGAAACGGUAGCUAAUACCGCAUACCAUCAGAUUUGCCCAGAGGGGAUGAGCUUGUUGGUGGGGUAACGGCUCACCAAGGCAACGAUCCCUAGCUGGUCUGAGAGGGUGACCGGCCACACUGGAACUGAGACACGGUCCAGACUCCUACGGGAGGCAGCAGUGGGGAAUAUUGCACAAUGGGCGCAAGCCUGAUGCAGCCAUGCCGCGUGUGUGAAGAAGGGCUUCGGAUUGUAAAGUACUUUCAGCAGGGAAGCGUUACCCGAAGAAAAAGCACCGGCUAACUCCGUGCCAGCAGCCGCGGUAAUUC
rnacentral:rRNA from 1 species